GUGUAUUUGAAAAAAAACUAGAGUCAGUUUUAACAAAGAACCCUACGUUGCAGCUCCCAUCCGCCGCUGCAACCUGCCACCCCCGACGUGCCCCCCGACUGCCGCCUGCCACCCCCCACUGCCGUCGCCUCCUACACCAGCUCGGCACUUCCACGAUUCGCCUUCUCUUUCCUUCGACGAACGGCUGCUCAACGAGUGCUCGCCUCAAAUAGCCGCGCUUGCACCCGCACAGGCACACAGUAGACAGCGCGCCUCCGUCGUCGCUCGCCACGUCGCCGUCUGCCACCAUAGCUGCCACCAUUAGCAGCAAGCGGUAUCGCUACCUUCGUCGCCUCCAUCCAAUGGAGAUGAGUAGCCUCCUCAGCCAGAGGGUUGUAUCGAUCAGUUGAUGGAUGUAUAGAAGGAAGUGCAAAAUCUUGGAGGUUACUCUACUCCAGUUCUUUAUUAUAGUUAAUGUAUUAAAUCUCCAUUUUUCAGAGAUUCAAUGAUAGCAAGGAGCACAUGAUGAAUACCUCAGUUGCGAUUACUCAUGAUGUUGCAGGUUCUCUGCAUCCGCAAGCCUGAAGAGCCUAUUGAUCUUUUUAUGGUUGAGAUAAUGCACAUGUGCCGCCGCGGAUGCAGAGAACUAUGAGGAAGUGCCGUUCGCGGCGCCGCCGCGUAUUGGUGUUGAUCCUUGGUGCAUAUCAGUUGAUACUGCACAUAAAUGGGAGCGUGCUUUUACUAAGAAGCAACAAAAAUUGGUCCAAACGACUACUAACUUGGUUGAUGAAGUUUGGACUAGUAGACCCCCACCUGAAGCAAAUCCUGUUGUUGUGCACCCGAUUAAGUUUUCUGGUUGUUCUGUUGAAGAUAAGCUGAAGCAGUUGAGGGAAGAACUUCUGCAGGAAAAAUCCCGUGCUAUUGUACUUACUGCAUUGGAUGAGGCAACAUGGCUGUUUAAUGUUCGUGGGUCUGAUGUUUCCUUUACUCCUGUUGUUCAUGCAUAUGCUAUUGUCACUUCAACUGCAGCUUUCUUUUAUGUUGACAAGCAAAAGGUGUCUUCGGAGGUGGGGUCUUAUAUGGAGAAAAAUGGUAUUGAAGUGCGUGAUUACAAUGAAGUGAGCUCCGAUGCAGUGUUACUUGCAUCUCUUUAGUUCCAUUGUUCACAGAUCAUCAUACUUUUGUGUUCCAGAAUCAUUCAGAAGGAUUAACUAUCCAUAUUUAAUCCUGUUGAGAUACAAGGACUGAAGAAUGCACAUAUUCGUGAUGGGGCAGGUGUGGUGCAGUAUCUUGUUUGGCUGGAUAAACAGAUUUUGUUCCUGAGAAGAUGAAGGCUGAGGAAGCUUUACCACAAGUAGCAGAGGCUGAAAAAUAAUAAGGAUUGAUUAUACAUUUGCUGAGUGGCUUGAAGAAUUUUAAAAGAUCACAUUGUGAUUAUAUAUUUUUUUGUUAUUUUUGUUCUAUUUUGACUCUAGAUAGAACUAUUGUACUAGACAUAAUUUAUUAUCUUCGGAUGAUAAUUUUAGUACAAUAAUUAAUUAUUUAUAUAAUAUAUAUUUUGGAUUGUCCUA